GAUGAACGCUGGCGGCGUGCCUAAUACAUGCAAGUCGAGCGAACAGACGAGGAGCUUGUUCCUCUGAUGUUAGCGGCGGACGGGUGAGUAACACGUGGAUAACCUACCUAUAAGACUGGGAUAACUUCGGGAAACCGGAGCUAAUACCGGAUAACAUGUUAAACCGCAUGGUUCAACAGUGAAAGACGGUCUUGCUGUCACUUAUAGAUGGAUCCGCGCCGCAUUAGCUAGUUGGUAAGGUAACGGCUUACCAAGGCAACGAUGCGUAGCCGACCUGAGAGGGUGAUCGGCCACACUGGAACUGAGACACGGUCCAGACUCCUACGGGAGGCAGCAGUAGGGAAUCUUCCGCAUUGGGCGAAAGCCUGACGGAGCAACGCCGCGUGAGUGAAGAAGGUCUUCGGAUCGUAAAACUCUGUUAUUAGGGAAGAACAAAUGUGUAAGUAACUAUGCACGUCUUGACGGUACCUAAUCAGAAAGCCACGGCUAACUACGUG
rnacentral:rRNA from 1 species